GUUGGACCUGGACAUUUAAAUUCUUAAAAUGUACUGAAUAUUCUCCCCAACUUUAUGACUGAGUGCUCUGAAGAUUAGAUAACAAAAUUAUUUUGCAAAGGUGCUGCUCAUCUAGCUGAUACAGUUUAAAGAGCCAUAUAAAGCUGUGAAAAGGUUCAAGAGAGAUCUUUCAGAGAGCCC